rnacentral:rRNA from 1 species
AGUGGCGGACGGGUGAGUAACGCGUGAGAAUCUGCCUUGGGGUCGGGGACAACCACUGGAAACGGUGGCUAAUACCGGAUAAGCCGAUUGGUGAAAGAUUUAUUGCCCGAAGAGGAGCUCGCGUCUGAUUAGCUAGUUGGUGAGGUAAGAGCUCACCAAGGCAGCGAUCAGUAGCUGGUCUGAGAGGACGAUCAGCCACACUGGGACUGAGACACGGCCCAGACUCCUACGGGAGGCAGCAGUGGGGAAUUUUCCGCAAUGGGCGAAAGCCUGACGGAGCAAGACCGCGUGAGGGAGGAAGGCUCUUGGGUUGUAAACCUCUUUUCUCAGGGAAGAAGCUCUGACGGUACCUGAGGAAUCAGCCUCGGCUAACUCCGUGCCAGCAGCCGCGGUAAUACGGAGGAGGCAAGCGUUAUCCGGAAUUAUUGGGCGUAAAGCGUCCGCAGGUGGCGAUUCAGUCUGCUGUCAAAGCACGGGGCUUAACUCCGUAAAGGCAGUGGAAACUGAAUAGCUAGAGUGCCGUAGGGGUAGAGGGAAUUCCCGGUGUAGCGGUGAAAUGCGUAGAGAUCGGGAAGAACAUCGGUGGCGAAAGCGCUCUACUGGACGGCAACUGACACUCAGGGACGAAAGCUAGGGGAGCGAAUGGGAUUAGAUACCCC